rnacentral:tRNA from 1 species
GACAGUAUAGGCCAGUGGAAAGGCCACCAGAUUGGGAUUCAGGAGAUCCAGGUUCUAGUCCCAGCUCUGCCU